rnacentral:rRNA from 1 species
CGGGUGGUAAUGCCGGAUGCUCCGACUCCUCGCAUGGGGUGUCGGGAAAGAUUUCAUCGGUAUGGGAUGGGGUCGCGUCCUAUCAGGUAGUCGGCGGGGUAACGGCCCACCGAGCCUACGACGGGUAGCCGGCCUGAGAGGGCGACCGGCCACAUUGGGACUGAGAUACGGCCCAGACUCCUACGGGAGGCAGCAGUGGGGAAUAUUGCACAAUGGGCGCAAGCCUGAUGCAGCGACGCCGCGUGCGGGAUGACGGCCUUCGGGUUGUAAACCGCUUUUGAUCGGGAGCAAGCCUUCGGGUGAGUGUACCUUUCGAAUAAGCACCGGCUAACUACGUGCCAGCAGCCGCGGUAAUACGUAGGGUGCAAGCGUUAUCCGGAAUUAUUGGGCGUAAAGGGCUCGUAGGCGGUUCGUCGCGUCCGGUGUGAAAGUCCAUCGCUUAACGGUGGAUCUGCGCCGGGUACGGGCGGGCUGGAGUGCGGUAGGGGAGACUGGAAUUCCCGGUGUAACGGUGGAAUGUGUAGAUAUCGGAAAAAAAACA